rnacentral:lncRNA from 1 species
GGGGUCUAGUAACUCAGUAAGGCCAUACUCUGGAAACAGCCUGCUCAGGAUUGAAUCCUGAGGCCACUCCUUGUUAACUGUGCCUUGGUUUCCCCAUCUGUAAAAUGGGGAUGGUGCUGACAACUGGGCAGUGUUCCGAGUGGUUUGCACAUAAGCCUAUUGAUCCAUUUAAUUCUUCUAACAACUCUGUGGGACUCCCACACCAGGAGAGAGAGGACUGUCCAGACCUGCCUGUGUGAGCAUCUUGUCUCGCACACAGGCUCCUCUGCAAAAUAGGAAGAUAGCAUUCCAGUUUUUACGUCAGCGCUUGGCACUGGAUGCAGCGUGAGCCAGACCAGGUCCCUGCCGUCCUGGACCGUCCAUUCGGGAAAGGCACCUGUUGGACACAGGAAUACCCGCAUUAUCAGACGAUGGCGCGCACUGGGAGAAGGCGAAGUGGGGAAGGGGCGGGGAGGGGGAGGCGGGGGCUGAGCUGGACGGCGGGGGAAGGAGCGUCCCAGCAGAGGCCAAACGAAGUGGUG